rnacentral:lncRNA from 1 species
GUUAAAAAUCAACCCCUGACUUAACUGCUUGUGUUAUCUAUAGAUUCCAGACAUUGUAUGGAAAAGCAUCGUGAAAAUCCGUCCUGUUCUGUUCCGUUCUGAUUACCAGUGCAUGCAGCCCCCAGUCAUGUACCCACUGCUUGCUCAAUCAUUCACGACCCUCUCACGCGGACACUCUUAGAGUUGUAAGCCCUUAAAAGGGACAGGGAUUGCUUACUUGGGAGCUCAGUUUUUUGAGACGUAACUCUGCCGACGCGCCUGGCCAAAUAAAGCCCUCUCCUUCCUCAACUCGGUGUCUGUGGCUCGUCCUGCUACAAUGCAUCUACCCAUACAGAUGCCAGUAGCAUCUUCCCAGUUAUGACAACUGAAAAUGUCUCCAGACACGUUCAAAUGUUUUCCGAGAGUCAAAAUUGCCUUUGGUUGAGAACCACUGUGGCCAUUUUACCUUCCAACUGGAAAGAGACCAUUUACUACAGGAAGGAAUGAAGUCAGCGUGUAAAGAACAACUGAAAAAAGAGAUGGGGAAGAUGGAGAGAGAAUGAGUCCUUAGGGCAACUACAUCUUUAGUUCCAGUUUCUGAAUCUUCUAAACUCUUCUUGUUCUUGCAGCUUACCUUUUGGUUUUCUUUAUCCUUCUAUUAAAAAUCUUUUUUUUGUGUGUGCUAAAUUAAUUUGCUUGGGAUUCUAUUACUUGCAAUCAAAAGAAAUCUGACUAUUGGUGUAUACAGCUUAUCCUCACUAUAUAUAUAUAUAUAUAUAUUCUGUGUCCCCUUAG